rnacentral:rRNA from 1 species
UACAGAGGGGGCAAGCGUUAAUCGGAAUUACUGGGCGUAAAGCGUGCGCAGGCGGUUAUUUAAGUCAGGUGUGAAAGCCCUGGGCUUAACCUAGGAAUUGCGCUUGAGACUGGAUAGCUUGGAGUGCGGCAGAGGGAGGUGGAAUUCCACGUGUAGCAGUGAAAUGCGUAGAGAUGUGGAGGAACACCGAUGGCGAAGGCAGCCUCCUGGGCCAGCACUGACGCUCAUGCACGAAAGCGUGGGGAGCAAACAGG